UGUUGAAAUAUUUUAUUGUUAUGGUUCUAUUAUAUUUUCUUUCGAAUGUUUGUUUCACCGACAACCACACGUUGAUGAAAUUUUAUACAAUAGGUUUGGAAAGGGAUAUAUUUCAAUAGAAUUAGAGAAAUUGUAUUAUAUGUAGCAAAUGCAGACAUCAAUUUCAUCACGAAUAAACAAACUGUGUAGAUAAUAGUACAAACGUUGUUACCACCGUCUUGCACUGUACCUAGUUCAUCAGAAAAUAAAACAACACCAAAGAGCAAAUCAAUUAAACUACCAACGUGACUGUAGGUAAAAACUCAAGAAGUUUUUAGCUCAUCUGGCCCGAAGAGCCAAGUUUUGAAAAUGUGUCCGGUGACCCGGCCAACCAACCAACCAUGGCUAAAAAUAGAACAUAGGGGUAAUAUGUAGAUUUUGGACUAUAUCUCUGAAAAAAAUAGAACAUAGGGGUAAAAUGUAGAUUUAUAGAUAAUGUUCAGCAAAGUAAAAUCUACAAAUAGGUCAACAUCCCUUAAGGAGUUAUUGCCCAUUAUAGUCAUUUUUUACAAUUUUUUCAUAAAUUUUUGUAAUCUUUACAAAAAUCUUCUCGUCUGAAACCACUAAGACAAAUUUAACCAAACUUGUACACAAUCAUAAUUGGGGUAUUUAGUUAAAACAUGUGUACGAUAACCCCACCUGCGAACCAAGAUGGUCGACAUGGCUAUAAAUAGUACAUAGGGUCCAUACAAUGCUGACACACAGCUGCCUUGGUAGGGUAUUAAUUAUAGCUUCAACAAUGAGACGUCACAAAAAAUGAAUAACAAUUAUAGAUCCAACAAUCACACAACACAAACUAACAGCAGGGAUAACAUGUUAUGAAAUGAAAAACAAAUAGUUCUUUGUUUUGAACUAAUUGAAAAAUUCUAAAUGAUCUUUUAAACAAUAUAUAUAUAUAGCAAAAAAAACAGGUGUUUAUUGUUG
rnacentral:lncRNA from 1 species